UAAUUCAAUAUUGCUGAAACGCGUACCCUUUCCUUCUCAUUCUCUCGUACGCGAAAUCUUUCUCACUCAAAACCCUAAAACGAUUUCCCUUCCUCUUUCUCACUCAAAAAUCCUUCAAAUCCGCUGCACGUCAUAAAUCUUCUAUGCUGCACAUUGUGUAACAUCAGUUUGUCAUCAAGUUUGAACUCUUCUCUCACAAACCCCAACCGAGCAGCAGCCGUCGCCGUUCUUUCCUUGAUAUCUCGUCGUUGGUUGUGUCUGUUGAACUCAAGAACGCAGAUUCUGUUGAUUCUUCGUCUUCACCCUCUCUGAACCAUAAGGAAUCAAGUAUGAAAGAAACAACUAUUCAUCUUCCUCUAAAAAGGGCGUGAAUCCCCAUCUCACAACCAAAGGGGCAAACUCUAAUUUCACAUGAUUUGGUCAUGCAUGUGUUAAAUUAAUACAUCACUGCAUCUUCUGAGUUGAUCAAGGAUUAAGGUGAGAAUAAUUAGACUUUCUCUUUCCCUCUGAUUUCCCCAUUUCUUUUGUUUAGAUGUUUCAUAAAAACUCACCAAUUUCCAUUUUGGUAAUUGCAUGAGAAAUCUAUGGUUUGAAAGGGGUUUAAGGACCAUAAGAACAGUGGGUAAUUGGAAGAUGCAAAAGCUUCAAGUAGAGGGAGGCAGUAGCAUCAUGGGAGAUUUGGAGAACUAGAUUGGUGAAAUAGGAAUAGGGAAUUGGAAGAAGUAUGUGAAACCCGUAUUCUGGACAGGGUCUUACUAAAACGAAAAUUCCCUAUACGGAUUUGAAGUACCUUGUAAAUUCUGCAUUUUGGCGAACUCCGAAGAUGUCGAUAGUGCGGUUCAACUUCAAUUUCAGGAUAAGUUCCUCCAUUUCCCUCUGAGACUGCUUUAGCUAUUGUUGAAGAAGAGCUUGGAGCUUCUGUAGGUGAUAUCUUUGAUCAGUUUGACUACGAACCAAUAGCUGCUGCAAGUCUUGCAGCGGUAGUACAAAGAUGGGACCUCGUAAGAAUUCAAUGACUUAUGCAGAGAAAGGAGUGCUUCAUUUUGGGUUGUGAACAUGUUUGUUCUUUCUGAUUAAUAAAUUGGUAAUUAGGUAUAUAUUUUGAUUAUUCAAAUUAGGUUCGAAUGCUCGAUGAUGAUAUUCCCCUUGCACAAUUUGCAGUAGCUUUUGAAGGUGCUUCUUGGAAGGAUCCAGAUUCAAUUCCUCUGAUGAUUAUGCAAGCAAUGCUGGGUUCAUGGCACAAAAUGAACCUGACAAUGGAUUUUUGCUUAUGCUUUAUAUUAAGAAGCUUUGGCUGUAUUCAUUGUCCAAAAUGGAGAGAGCAUUGAUGAGGUUACUUGGAAAUUCAACAUCACUAGCUUCAUGUCGUUUUCAUUAGUGGUAAAUUAGUUGGUUCUAUGGAUAGAGUUUUGACUUUUCAUAUUAAUGGGCUGUAUGCUUGGAAUUAGACUAGAUAAUUAGUGAUAAUGUUAAGCAUUGACUUUUAAUGUGUUGAAUGUAACUUGUUAGGAAUUGACAAUGACUUGUGGAAAAUAAUAUUCGGAAUUAUGUCAA